rnacentral:piRNA from 1 species
UAAUAAUGUGAAACAGGCAUU